rnacentral:rRNA from 1 species
UACGUAGGGUGCAAGCGUUAAUCGGAAUUACUGGGCGUAAAGCGUGCGCAGGCGGUUUUGUAAGUCUGUCGUGAAAAUCCCCCGGGCUCAACCUGGGAAUUGCGAUGGAGACUGCAAGGCUAGAAUCUGGCAGAGGGGGGGUAGAAUUCCACGUGUAGCAGUGAAAUGCGUAGAGAUGUGGAGGAACACCGAUGGCGAAGGCAGCCCCCCUGGGUCAAGAUUGACGCUCAUGCACGAAAGCGUGGGGGAGCAAACA